rnacentral:rRNA from 1 species
ACGGCUACCACAUCCAAGGAAGGCAGCAGGCGCGCAAAUUACCCACUCCCGGCACGGGGAGGUAGUGACGAAAAAUAACGAUACGGGACUCAUCCGAGGCCCCGUAAUCGGAAUGAGAACACUUUAAAUCUUUUAACGAGUACCUAAUGGAGGGCAAGUCUGGUGCCAGCAGCCGCGGUAAUUCCAGCUCCAUUGGCGUAUAUUAAAGUUGUUGCGGUUAAAAAGCUCGUAGUUGGAUCUGUGUAUCGGACGGCCGGUUCGCUGCUCGCAGCGUUCAACUGGUCGGUCCGGACGUCCUGCCGGUGGGCGUCCGCGCGAGCGGGCGUCCGUACUACCCUCCGGGCUGCUCUUAACCGGGUGGCCCGGUGGGCCGGCACGUUUACUUUGAACAAAUUUGAGUGCUCAAAGCAGGCCUUUGGUUGCCUGAAAACUGUGUGCAUGGAAUAAUGGAAUAGGGCCUCGGUUCUAUUUUGUUGGCUUUUCUGAACUUGAGGUAAUGAUUAAUAGGGACAGACGGGGGCAUUCGUAUUGCGACGUUAGAGGUGAAAUUCUUGGAUCGUCGCAAGACGAACGGAUGCGAAAGCGUUUGCCAAGAAUGUUUUCGCUAAUCAAGAACGAAAGUUAGAGGUUCGAAGGCGAUCAGAUACCGCCCUAGUUCUAACCAUAAACGAUGCCAGCCAGCGAUGCGCCGAAGUUCCUCCGAUGACUCGGCGCGCAGCUUCCGGGAAACCAAAGCUUUUGGGUUCCGGGGGAAGUAUGGUUGCAAAGCUGAAACUUAAAGGAAUUGACGGAAGGGCACCACCAGGAGUGGAGCCUGCGGCUUAAUUUGACUCAACACGGGAAACCUCACCAGGCCCGGACAUCGGCAGGAUUGACAGAUUGAGAGCUCUUUCUUGAUUCGAUGGUUGGUGGUGCAUGGCCGUUCUUAGUUGGUGGAGCGAUUUGUCUGGUUAAUUCCGAUAACGAACGAGACUCUAGCCUGCUAAAUAGGCGCAGCGAUCCUCGCGCUCGCUGCGUAGCAAUCUUCUUAGAGGGACAGGCGGCUUCUAGCCGCACGAGAUUGAGCAAUAACAGGUCUGUGAUGCCCUUAGAUGUUCUGGGCCGCACGCGCGCUACACUGAAGGAAUCAGCGUGUGCUCCCUGCCCGAAAGGGCCGGGUAACCCGCUGAACCUCCUUCGUGCUUGGGAUUGGGGCUUGCAAUUCUUCCCCAUGAACGAGGAAUUCCCAGUAAGCGCGAGUCAUAAGCUCGCGUUGAUUACGUCCCUGCCCUUUGUACACACCGCCCGUCGCUACUACCGAUUGAAUGAUUUAGUGAGGUCUUCGGACUGGUCCUCGGAGCUCCUCGCGGGGCUCCGCUGGGCCGGAAAGAUGACCAAACUUGAUCAUUUAGAGGAAGUAAAAGU